AGUUGCUGGGGGCUGACAUCCUCUUAAACAGGCUGUAAAUCCUCUCGCAGUAAGAAAGACGUACUGCCAAAGUUGCUGUUCCUCUAGAGGCGGAGAAGGUGGUGGUGUUGAGGGGGAACGCUUUCGCUCGGUCUUCCCCAUCAUGUCCACUCACUCUAAAUGACAGUUGUUUCGGCCAGACUACUGGCUGAUGCCUGAGGGCGGGCUACGCUCGUCACUUCUAAGCUUUUGAUUGGAUCUUGGCGUUGUACAGAGACGGGUCUGAUUGGUGGAAGUUUUCAUUGGGCUCGUACUUUCACCCAAUCAGCAUGCAGAAGCUGGCAGUCUGAACAUCGCCAGUGCGGUCCACGUGGCUCUCCAUGAGGUCUACGCCAUCUUUAGACAAACCCGUCAGCAGGAUGCCCUCCAGGUUGCCCGCCUCCUUCAUCUCAUUGUCCCGCAGCACUCACCCUUCUCAGCGGUGGCUCCCUUGUUGAGGAUCUGGAUGGCCCGGCGGAUGUCCAGGUUAAACAGAGCCACGGCGGCUGCCCGCUCCCACUCACGCUCCUGCUCCAGCGAUCGCAGAAAUAU